GACGAACGCUGGCGGCGUGCUUAACACAUGCAAGUCGAACGAUGAAGCCCAGCUUGCUGGGUGGAUUAGUGGCGAACGGGUGAGUAACACGUGAGUAACCUACCCUUGACUCUGGGAUAAGCGCUGGAAACGGCGUCUAAUACCGGAUACGACCUGCCCCGGCAUCGGGUGCGGGUGGAAAGUUUUUCGGUCAAGGAUGGACUCGCGGCCUAUCAGCUAGUUGGUGAGGUAAUGGCUCACCAAGGCGACGACGGGUAGCCGGCCUGAGAGGGUGACCGGCCACACUGGGACUGAGACACGGCCCAGACUCCUACGGGAGGCAGCAGUGGGGAAUAUUGCACAAUGGGCGAAAGCCUGAUGCAGCAACGCCGCGUGGGGGAUGACGGCCUUCGGGUUGUAAACCUCUUUUAGUAGGGAAGAAGGGCUUCGGCUUGACGGUACCUGCAGAAAAAGCACCGGCUAACUACGUGCCAGCAGCCGCGGUAAUACGUAGGGUGCAAGCGUUGUCCGGAAUUAUUGGGCGUAAAGAGCUCGUAGGCGGUUUGUCGCGUCUGCUGUGAAAACCCGAGGCUCAACCUCGGGCCUGCAGUGGGUACGGGCAGACUAGAGUGCGGUAGGGGAGAAUGGAAUUCCUGGUGUAGCGGU
rnacentral:rRNA from 1 species